rnacentral:rRNA from 1 species
GUGUCAGCAGCCGCGGUAAUACGGAGGUGGCAAGCGUUGCUCGGAUUUACUGGGUGUAAAGGGCGUGUAGGCGGCUCUGUAAGCCCUGUCUUAAAGGCACCGGCUCAACCGAUGUUUUCGACAGGGGACUGCAAAGCUUGAGGAUGGAAGAGGUGAGCGGAACUCCCGGUGUAAGGGUGAAAUCUGUAGAUAUCGGGAAGAACACCAGUGGCGAAGGCGGCUCACUAGGCCAUUUCUGACGCUGAGAUGCGAAAGCUAGGGGAGCAAACAGGAUUAGAAACCCGCGUAGUCC